rnacentral:lncRNA from 1 species
GGCCUUGCUCUUAUGUCAUCUGACUAAAGGUUUCAUAGACCAAAAAUAACCAUCCAACCUGUUGGAAUACUGAAACAAUUGCUGCCUGCUUUCCACACACUACAUAAAAUAUGUGGAUAUCCUAAAUUCUACAAAAAAAAGAUUUGUAAGCAAAUCAAGCAAUACUGGGACUCCCUCUUCUCCAGAAGAGACAUCCUGGCCUCCAUGCAGAGGAAUGUGUGGAUAGACAUAUAUUUAAGGAAGACACUAAACCAGAAAAUACUACAUUACACCCUCUUAAAAGACUUCUAAGAUUGUUGUCAUGCGUACCACUGACAUUCAGAUGAUGUGUAUUCUUGAUUGUGAUUUCAUGUUUGGAGCUGAUGAAGGAGUUUGAAGUCUCCAGAGCAGCAAGGAGAGUGGGGAGUAGAACUCAUCAUCUUUAGGUCACUCAUCACCG